rnacentral:lncRNA from 1 species
CUGAAACAAACUAGACAGAUAUGGACCCGGCCACCACAAUGACAAUAGAGACAAGUAGUUCUUUAAGCGAUUACAACAGACUUGGCUGGUUGGGACAGUACCAGGUGGCCGGGGAGGUGCAUCGCUGCGGGACCUGACUGUCUAGACAGAAGUUGAUCCGGGCAAGGGGGAACAGCAUGUGCCUAGGCCCAGAGAUGAUUGAGCACAGCAGGCUGAGGGAGGGGACACACACUGUGGGGACACAGUGCUUGAGCGUGAGCACUGGUCACGCAGUGGGGAGCCACUGUCCACAGAAUCCAAAAGAGAAUCCAAACUUCAAACCUG